rnacentral:rRNA from 1 species
CUUGCUCUUUAAAGCUUAGUGGCGGACGGGUGAGUAACGCGUGAGCAACCUGCCUCUCAGAGGGGGAUAACGUUUUGAAAAGAACGCUAAUACCGCAUAACAUAUCGGAACCGCAUGAUUCUGAUAUCAAAGGAGCAAUCCGCUGAGAGAUGGGCUCGCGUCCGAUUAGUUAGUUGGUGAGGUAACGGCUCACCAAGACUACGAUCGGUAGCCGGACUGAGAGGUUGAUCGGCCACAUUGGGACUGAGACACGGCCCAGACUCC